AUUGUACUCCCUCUGCCCGAAAAUACUUGUCAUCAAAAUGGAUAAAAAGAGAUGUAUCUAGAACUAAAACACGUCUAGAUACAUCCCCUUUUAUCUAUUUUGAUGACAAGUAUUUCUGGACGGAGGGAGUAACAG
rfam:Triticum aestivum genome assembly, contig: Triticum_aestivum_CS42_TGACv1_scaffold_194276_3AL